CAGUAGCCACGGGAAUACGAAGGGGGCUAGCGUUGUUCGGAUUUACUGGGCGUAAAGCGCACGUAGGCGGAUCGAUCAGUCAGGGGUGAAAUCCCAGAGCUCAACUCUGGAACUGCCUUUGAUACUGUCGAUCCGGAGUAUGGAAGAGGUGAGUGGAAUUCCGAGUGUAGAGGUGAAAUUCGUAGAUAUUCGGAGGAACACCAGUGGCGAAGGCGGCUCACUGGUCCAUUACUGACGCUGAGGUGCGAAAGCGUGGGGAGCAAACAGGAUUAGAUACCCCUGUAGUCCCUGUCUCUUAUAC
rnacentral:rRNA from 1 species